rnacentral:rRNA from 1 species
AAGCACUUUGAAGAGAGAGUUAAAGAGAACGUGAAACCGAUAAGAUUGAAACGGAUAGAGCUAACGGUACCUAUUCUGCAUUCAAUCCGUGCUGACGUGUAGUGUAGGUUGAUCAUUCCGGCUAUUGGGUGGUCGGCUUAUUUCUGUGCGGCUGUGCGGUGCCUUUGCAGGUGAAGUGCGCCGGUGGGAGUUCUGCAGCGAUAAGAACUUUGCAUUGAGGCCUCAUUUCGGUGAGAAACCAGUGCGGAGGGAAGAUUGUUUGUAGGGUUCUCGGAUUGUUGAGCAUGGCCUACGGGUUGGGUGGCUGUUGAGUUGGUUGUGAGUGGUAUCCGCAUGCGGAUGCCCUUGUAGCUGGCUUGGUGGCUGUCUUAAUCCACUUGCUCUAACCGGUGUACAAGUUGGUCAUCUAUCCGACCCGUCUUGAAACACGGACCAAGAAGUUUAUCACAUGUGCGAGUCAUUGAGCGUAAAAACUCAAAGGCGCAAUGAAAGUAACGUUGACUUAAUAUGCGAUCCUUAAGGCUUCGGCCUUGAGGCGCAGCAUAGCCUCACUCUUAUUGCUUGCAAUGGGGUGAAGGUAGAGCACAUUUGAUGAGACCCGAAAGAUGGUGAACUAUGCCUGAGCAGGAUGAAGCCAGAGGAAACUCUGGUGGAAGUCCGAAGCGGUUCUGACGUGCAAAUCGAUCGUCUGACUUAGGUAUAGGGGCGAAAGACUAAUCGAACUAUCUAGU